GAAACACCGGUCCUUGUACAAUCACCGAAGUUAAGCAAUGUUGAGCCUGGUCAGUACCUAGAUAGGUAACUGCUUGAGAGUACCAGGUGGUGUAA